rnacentral:rRNA from 1 species
GACAGAGGGUGCAAACGUUGUUCGGAAUUACUGGGCGUAAAGCGAGUGUAGGCGGUUUGGUAAGUCGGAUGUGAAAGCCCCGGGCUCAACCCGGGAAGUGCACUCGAUACUGCCAAGCUAGAGUAUCGGAGAGGUUGGUGGAAUUCUCGGUGUAGAGGUGAAAUUCGUAGAGAUCGGGAGGAACACCCGUGGCGAAGGCGGCCACCUGGGCCGACCCUGACGCUGAGGCGCGAAGGCGUGGGGAGCGAACGGG